GGCCGCCUGGCGAAAUGGCAUCGCGUCUGACUACGAUGCGUAGUGAAAUCAGGAGAUUGCAGGUUCGAUCCCUGCGGUGGUCA
rnacentral:tRNA from 1 species